UGGUAUUUUUGUUUCUAGAAAUCUGCC
rnacentral:piRNA from 1 species